CUCUCCUCCGUUGAACAAAAUGAAAUCUCAUCUCUGCUCUUCCUCACACGGCGAAUAACAACCACCAUCCACCGCCAACAUGUUCCUCAACCACCACCAGUCGCUCCAUCGGUUUAGUGGACUGAGAGGGGAAAAAAUUACCUACACAUGGGGAACACAUAAAGCAAUAAUAUGGUACUUUCAGCGAUGAUCCAAGGAGCAAAUAGAUCCCCGAUGUUUUCAUGAAAAAAUAUAUAAAGUCAAUGAGUGUUGACGAUGACAAAGAAGUUGUUACUCGUUACUGGUAGAGCUUCAGUAAUAUUAUGAAGGAUCUUGGGUACAUGUAUUAUAUGUAAGUAAGGUUUAUGUGUAUCAACAGUGGAGA